rnacentral:rRNA from 1 species
UACGUAGGGGGCAAGCGUUGUCCGGAUUUAUUGGGCGUAAAGAGCGUGUAGGCGGCCAGACAGGUCAGCUGUGAAAACUCGAGGCUCAACCUCGAGACGCCGAUGGAAACCAUCUGGCUAGAGUCCGGAAGAGGAGAGUGGAAUUCCCGGUGUAGCGGUGAAAUGCGCAGAUAUCGGGAAGAACACCCGUGGCUAAGGCGGCUCUCUAGUACGGUACUGACGCUGAGACGCGAAAGCGUGGG